GAAGCAAACUACGAUCAUUGAACGAAGUUGGUGAGCGGUGAGCGAGAGCGUCAUUAAAAAACGCUAGCCGAUAUUGCUCUUUAAGUUGUCACUGUCGACGUUUGUGUUGUUGUAGAUGCUUUGUUUUCAAAAUUUCAUUCAACAUACACGUCCGGCAUAAACAGGCUACUUAGUUGCUGGUGAUGCACGCCUGCCUGCCGCCUGCCGCCUGCAAUAUCAAUUGAUACGGGUAUGAAGGAAAAAGCAGCACAACAAACAGAUGUUUUGACGUUUUGCGCAUGCAUACAUACGUAGUAUACAUAUAUAUUGUAAUAUAAAUGUAUCAAAUAUAAAUUUGCACAUCGCCCAGUGAGCAGUAAGUCAAAGUAAGUUAUAUACGCAUUUAAGCCUACUCGUAAAUAUUUAACCUCUAUUUUCAAACAUUAUGCACCAACGAAAUAAUAAGCUUUUUCGGAAGGUUUCAGUAAUGUUUACGACGAAGCGAUCACUAUAUGAAUUAUCCCCAAAAUUGUUUAGUCGGUCAUGACGGUCUACCGAGUGCUGACUACGUGCUUACUGCCACCAGCUAUGGUAACCUAAAAUAUUUAAAUAACAAAAUUUUGGAUCUUAUCUAUAUACUACUGUGAUUAAAAAAGCAUACAAUGAACACAGAGUCAGUAAGUAAUGUAGGCAUUGACAUUGGCAUUGACUGAAAUGAAAUAUGCCGAUAAAAACGACAACAUUUGCUAUUCAAUAAAAGGAAUAGAUGAAACAACAAAACGAUCGUUGAAGCCCAUUAACAGUUUUCUACCUAAUUAUAUGCUUGCAAGUGCAUUUCAUAUAUAAACAAUUUUGCAUUUCAUUUCAAUUCGGAAUCUUGUAAUUACCGCCAAGCAAAACUUUUGUGUUCAAAUUGUACUUUUUCUUCUUUUAUGAUUCAAGAAUUGGUGAAUCAGCCUCUUAUGAACUCUGUCAUUUUUUAGAGUUAUAGUAUGCGUAUAUAUAUAUAUAAAAAUUUAUACUUUCUCAUUAUUUAGGGGGCAGAUGACAUCCUCUUAGUCAUGCGUAAAUUAUUCUAAUAUCGAGAGAUCUAGCAUAUUUUAUAUUAUAAUAGCUAAGCAUUUAAGUGUCACAAAUUAGUAUAUGGUAAGUAGAAAUAUAAAAAAAAUGUAAGUUCGCCGUUUAUUUUAAAUAAAUUGUGGCAAUUAGUUUUACAAAUGCACAAAUUUAUUUUAUUUAUUAAAUUAUAAGAAAGUUGUUGAAUUAAAGUUUUGGUUUCGUAUUUAACAUACCAACUUUGGAAUAUCCUAGUAACGUCUAAAGGCAUCAAAUAGUGAUUCAAAUGAGUGACUUAGAAAAUUGUAAAAAAACUACUCAUUUUGUUAAAUAAAAUAAUCUUUAU